ACUGCAGUUCAAUUGAUCGUGUGUUAGCAGAAACAUAAGAUCGUUUCAGUAUUUUUUUAACUAAAAUUUUUCAUAAAUUGUCAGGAUAAAAAUAUAUCAGUGACCAGUGACUUUAGGAUGGCAACGGCAUAUCGGCCAAAUGAUACUCAAUAUGAUAUCAUUUGUGUAAAUGCUCAGAGCGUUCUAGCGAAAGACAAAAAAUCGAAAGAGACAAAGAUUCAAAAAUUGGAAAAGAUGUGUAAACGUUUUAAUGUUUCCAUUUUGUGUUGUACGGAAGCUCGAAUUACAGAAGUCGAAAAGGACGAAUUGUAUACAAUUGAUGGAUAUUAUGGCGUUGUUUGUCAUUCUUUAUCCAGACAUACCGGAGGAGUUGUGAUGUAUAUAAAAAAUGAUCUAAAUUAUAAAAGUUUUCCUUACACAUCUACUCCACAUAUUUGGUGUUUGGCAAUUGAAAUCACUAAUUCAGAUAUUGAUGGUAUAUAUGGUGGAAUAUAUCGAUAUCAGGAUCAGACCAUUAAGAAUGUUGAUGCUGGUUUGAAAAUUUUAGAUGAUUUCUUGAAUAAUCAUUUGAAAACGGAUUCACACAAUGCGAAUAAAAGGCAAUUAUUUAUGGGUGAUAUGAACAUUGAUUUUAGAAACCCCAAAAAGGUAACUUUAUCCGGAAAGGCGAAUGAAAUAUUCAAAAAACACAAUUUGAUUCAUGCUCUAGAUGUCAAUAUAAUUACAAGAACAGGAAGGAAUAGUGAGACACAUAUCGAUGUUGUAGUUUCGAAUUGUAAAGAGGGUGAUGUAAUAUGUGAAAUUUUAAAAGAUGUUCAAAUUUCUGAUCAUGAAACAAUAGGAAUACGUAUAAAGCGUUCCGAAUCCGUGAAAGUGGAAAAUCAGGUAGAAAAGACAAUGAUUUGCACAAUUAGUCAAACUUAUGAUUUCCACCUAGUUGGAAAGAUCAGUUCAAUUGAAGACUCGAUUUGGUCGAACUUAUUUAUAUUUUACUCAAAUAUGGGGGUCCAAAAAAUAAGAGUGUCGAUAAAGUUGGCAAACCCGGCGGAAAGCAAACCUUUAUGGCAUCCUGAAAAUGUAUAUGGGCCUGAUGCUAUCCGAGUUGGUGUAACGAUCGCUCGAGGACGAAAUAUGUGAAAAAACGCUAUGAUUUUUCGUACAUUAUUUCCUAUUCAAGGAACCUUUUUUAGAAUAAACUCUCGUUUCUAUUCGGCUGAAGAGCUAUUAUAGUGUGAGAGUCCUACGGCAGGAACUAAGGAUGAACACAACAGCUUGGGAUUAGGCGUAUAAUCUUUAAAUCUCUAACGAACAAACGAGAAACUUUAAGAACGCGUGGGGGCUCUGUUUUAAUCACCAUGAGACUCUCUGUCGAUACAACUGAUAUUACAAAGUAGAUGGUCACUAGUUUCUGGACAUGCAAAUUUUUAAAGCCAUUCUGAAUCAUUACGUUUUUGGCUAAACUUUCGAUACAACUCCCGUUAGCUAAGAAUGGGAGAGUCUUUCCUGGCAGAAGAGUGAGAACGCAGAAAAGAGAGAUUAGUUUUUUUACUGGACAAUAUACUCGUCGAAUCGUAAAAGCAACAAAAUAUAGCUGACGGGAGGUUCGGAUGUAGAUUCUUUUAUUUCAAUUCCAAUAUUUAAAAAAAAAUCAAGAAACAAUAGAAAUUUCCUUUUUUUUGAAAUCGAAGGCUUCGAAAAUGUUGCUCACUCCGCUCGCGAUGCAUUCUUCAUAACUAUGUUUCUAGGAAUGAACCUAAACCAAAAAUAAAAUGAAAACAUUUCAGGGUCAGGAUUUGUUAAAAGUCAUUCUUCAAGGCAGUUGGUGGUCCCACAUGGAAGUAUGGAAGUGUCUGUGUGUGUCGCCACAGUUUGUAAUACCAACUUUGAUGAAAGUAUUAUUUAGCGCCCCUAAUCUAGCUAUUUUGCGCCUUUUUCCCGACAACUUAGAUAAGAUGCAAGAGUAACAAAAAUGCAUUGUUUUCAUUUUUUGGAAUUUUUAUAUCGUAUGGGCACACGUAACAAUGUUGGUAUAGACAAAAAUCCACGGAUAAUUUCCAAGUGAUACAAGGAUAUGCUGAUUGACUCAUCCGUUAAGUGUUAGGUGUUAUUGUAAAGGUAAUGCCAGAGGCUUUCGAGUUUCGAGUUGGCAUCUUGUCGUAAGUCGUAUAUUCAUUUGAAAUUUGCCUGACCUCCCGACCCGGGCGUUUAAUUUUUUUUUUUCUGCCAAAAGCUCUCGUUACAUGCAUCCAAUGUACGUCCCAUGAAUGUUUUGAAAAAACCCAAAGACUGGGUGAACCGAUUGGACUACUUUGACUGACUUGACAGAUCCUAAUGAACUUUAAAAUCGUUUAAUCGGUCUCUUCGGACUACUCUAGAGUGAAAUCAAGCAACUCAACUUAACAAGUCACCUCAGCAUCUGGAACCUACGUUCAAUUCUUCUUAAACUCAUGUUAAGUCCCUUCCCUAUACCAACUCCAUACCAUAUACAUUUUUUAUCAGGGUUUCUUUUCAGCCAGGUACGCCAACUUUAUCGACACUUUUAUUUCCCCAUACGAUUUUGCACCCUCAUAAUAACACAAUCACUCGAAUUUAUUGGUUCUAUUUAGAAAGAGAAAACUACAAACGCCGGAAUUCGUUUGAGCCCUCAGAGAGCACAACUCUCAUCAUCUCCAAUCCCAUCGCGGUCAUCUUCUACCUCAUCGCUUUCACGUACAUUCAAUUCGGCGAUGAGACUUGAAAGCACUUCUAGCUGCCCUUCAAGUCAACCUACUUCACUAAACUUUUGUCCCACACCUUCAACCUCAUCUACCAGCAAUUUAAACAAUAAGCAGAGGCGCCGACGCUCAUUCUAGACAACAGAGGUUAAAGAAAGUUGCAUAUUUUUUUGAGUUUACUUAAAUUCCAUGUAUUUAUCCGAUACUUUUCAUUUUAAGUCAAAGUAUUUAUCAGAGAAAAUUAAAAAAAUAUUUGUAAAUUAGAAUAAACUAAUUAUGCG